GCAAGGGGAGGUUGUGAGAUCGAGUUGAAAAAAGAAGAAAGAAAACAAUGGCUUAGCACACACCGCAAAACGCGCACGAUGAGGAACAAGUGUGCAUUGACCAUUCAAGCCGAGUUUUAGUACAAACCCACACUGCGUUGUUAUGCUUUUACUUACUCAACAAUUCAAUUAUAAAACCCCUGCAUAUCCCUCACACUUUCUUCCCUUUUCCCCCUCUCUUCAUCUUUUGCUUCCUUCGUAUAGGGAUUAGAGAGCAGCAAGUAAUGAUGGAUGCGCUGAUAAAGGUGCAGUUCAACGCACCAAAACCAUAAAAAGCGCUUCUUUCGUCUUAUGGCAUGUCUGAGGAGGAAGAAGCACUGCGUCAAAGGCCAACAUCGUUGAUUUCUUUCCCACCCCAUGACAAUUCUUCGCUUCUUCUGCCCCUUCUUUAUACUCUUCUUCACUCCAAUAGCUUCUGUGCAAGCGUUCACCGGAACCUAUGGUAUAAAUUAUGGUAGGAUUGCAAAUAAUAUUCCUUCACCCGAUGAAGUUGUUACUCUUCUCAGAGCAGCAAAAAUAAGGAAUGUUAGAAUCUACGAUGCUGAUCACAGUGUUCUCAAGGCAUUUAGUGGAACUGGGCUUGAAAUUGUAGUGGGGCUUCCCAAUGGCCAGCUGCAAGACAUGAGUUCGAAUCCAGACCAUGCUUUGAACUGGGUAAAAGAAAAUGUACAGUCAUUUCUUCCUGACACACGCAUUCGUGGAAUUGCUGUAGGCAAUGAAGUUUUGGGUGGGACAGACUAUUCUUUGUGGGGAGUUCUUCUGGGCGCUGUUAAAAAUAUUUACAAUGCUACCAAGAAACUUCAUCUAGAUCAACUGGUUCAGAUUUCUACGGCAAACUCAUUUGCGGUUUUUGCAGUUUCUUACCCUCCCUCCUCUGGUAAAUUUGAUAAUAAUGUUAAUCAGUAUAUGAAGCCACUACUGGAGUUCUUCCAACAGAUUGGCUCUCCUUUCUGUUUGAAUGCUUACCCUUUCCUAGCCUAUGCGGGUGAUCCUGAACAUAUUGAUAUAAAUUAUGCACUUUUUGAACCAACAAAGGGAAUUUAUGAUCCAAUGUAUCAUCUGCAUUAUGAUAACAUGCUUGAUGCUCAGAUUGAUGCAGCCUAUGCCGCUUUGGAGGAUGCUGGAUUUGACAAAAUGGAAGUCAUAGUUACUGAAACGGGCUGGGCCUCAAAUGGAGAUCAAAGUGAAGCUGGAGCAAAUGCAACUAAUGCAAGGACAUAUAAUUAUAACCUGCGUAAAAGGCUUGCAAAGAGGAAAGGAACCCCUCAUAGACCUAAAAAUGUUGUGAAGGCAUACAUUUUUGCAUUAUUCAACGAGAAUGAGAAGCCUGGGCAUUCAUCUGAGAAGAACUAUGGACUGUUCAAGGCUGAUGGGAGUAUAUCAUAUGACAUUGGCUUUCACGGACUUAAUGCUGGACAUUCAUCUCUUUUGUCUCUUAAGAAUAUCAAUACUCAAGGGUUGUCCCAGUCAUACAUGAUGGUAUUCUUUUUAUCUUCUUUGAUACCGCUGAUUUUCUGGAGUUAGUGAUCCUUAUGAUAUCAGCCUGCUCGGCAAACCAGUUCCUGGCAAUGAAAUGAGUUUGACUUGGCUCCACUUCAUGUCUCACUAUAGAUCAAAUUAUACCAUUGAUUGUCAUAUUUCAUAAAGCAAUAUCUAGAAAUGUUGAUGUUUCAGCAAAUGUGUAAUUAUUUCACUUGAGAAAGGAUUUUCCUUCGAAGAGUAUUAGAAUUUUUCAGUUUUUACUAAUACAUUUGUUGGUUCUUCUCCUUUAAUAAGCUACCAAAGAGCCUGCAAGAUCAAAAAGAAAAAAACAGAAAAUACAGCAAAGCAAUACAUAGUAGAGCAAGACCCAAAGAUUUACGUGGUUCAGCAAUGUGCCUACAUCCACGGAAAAAUGCAGCUCCUCAUCAUCACAUUGAUCAUGAAAUUAGAAGUUCAAUACAAGCAGCAAUUAGCUUUGAUCUCUCUUUUCAAAACCUCCCUCAAUCACCUAGUCCACUACCUCCUUUUAGAACUCUCUUAAUUUUCUGCAACUCCUCUGUUUUGCACCCUCAAAAACUCUCUUUUUUUGUAUUACAUGAUUAAGAGUAUAUAUACACUUUAAAAGCUAGUCCUAGGAACAAAGGCUAUAAAUUGGUGCCAAAACCAAUUCAGUUAUAAUAACUGAAAACAGUUAUAACAGCACCACUUUAAAGCCUUCUCACUUGUGUCAUUUGUGAUUUUGAGUCACACACCACAAAUCUCUACCUUGACUCUAAAUCAGCAAGUGUCUAUCUUGUAAUUCAGGGCUGCACUUCUACCAAUCUGUUUUAGGCAUCUUCGAAAUUGAUCAAGUCCAGACAGUGCUUGAACUUGAUACUAGAGAGGGACUUUGUGAACAUAUCAGCCAGGUUUUCUUUU